rfam:Peptoniphilus sp. oral taxon 375 str. F0436 noncontiguous_finished_chromosome, whole genome shotgun sequence.
UCCGGUGACCAUAGCAAGAGGGUACCACCCGUAACCAUACCGAACACGGAAGUUAAGCCUCUAUGCGCCGAUGAUACUUGGUUGGCAACGACCUGGGAAAGUAGGCUAUUGCCGGAC